GACGAACGCUGGCGGCGUGCCUAAUACAUGCAAGUCGAGCGAGCUUGCCUAGAUGAUUUUAGUGCUUGCACUAAAUGAAACUAGAUACAAGCGAGCGGCGGACGGGUGAGUAACACGUGGGUAACCUGCCCAAGAGACUGGGAUAACACCUGGAAACAGAUGCUAAUACCGGAUAACAACACUAGACGCAUGUCUAGAGUUUGAAAGAUGGUUCUGCUAUCACUCUUGGAUGGACCUGCGGUGCAUUAGCUAGUUGGUAAGGUAACGGCUUACCAAGGUAAUGAUGCAUAGCCGAGUUGAGAGACUGAUCGGCCACGUUUGGACUGAGACACGGCCCAAACUCCUACGGGAGGCAGCAGUAGGGAAUCUUCCACAAUGGACGAAAGUCUGAUGGAGCAACGCCGCGUGAGUGAAGAAGGUCUUCGGA
rnacentral:rRNA from 1 species